rnacentral:rRNA from 1 species
AUUGACGCUGGCGGCAGGCCUAACACAUGCAAGUCGAACGAGUGGCGGACGGGUGAGUAAUGUCUGGGAAACUGCCUGAUGGAGGGGGAUAACUACUGGAAACGGUAGCUAAUACCGCAUACCAUCGGAUGUGCCCAGAUGGGAUUAGCUAGUAGGUGGGGUAAAGGCUCACCUAGGCGACGAUCCGUAGCUGGUUUGAGAGGACGACCAGCCACACUGGGACUGAGACACGGCCCAGACUCCUACGGGAGGCAGCAGUGGGGAAUUUUGGACAAUGGGGGAAACCCUGAUCCAGCCAUCCCGCGUGGGGGAUGCAGGCUUUCGGGUUGUAAACCUCUUUCGCUAUCGAACGGGUAGGUGGAGAAGAAGCGCCGGCUAACUACGUGCUAGCAGCCGCGGUAAUUC